rnacentral:rRNA from 1 species
GACUCUCGGCAACGGAUAUCUCGGCUCUCGCAUCGAUGAAGAACGUAGCGAAAUGCGAUACUUGGUGUGAAUUGCAGAAUCCCGUGAACCAUCGAGUUUUUGAACGCAAGUUGCGCCCGACGUCGUCAGGCCGAGGGCACGCCUGCCUGGGCGUCACACGCCG